rfam:Triticum aestivum genome assembly, contig: Triticum_aestivum_CS42_TGACv1_scaffold_030971_1BL
AAAGUACUCCCUCCGUCCGAAAAUACUUGUCGGAGAAAUGCAUAAAAAUGGAUGUAUCUAGAACUAAAAUACGUCAGAUACAUCCAUUCCUCCGACAAGUAUUUCCGGACGGAGGGAGUAGUAC